UACGUAGGUGGCAAGCGUUGUCCGGAUUUACUGGGUGUAAAGGGCGUGUAGCCGGGAAGGCAAGUCAGAUGUGAAAUCCGGAGGCUCAACCUCCGAAUUGCAUUUGAAACUGUUUUUCUUGAGUACUGGAGAGGCAGACGGAAUUCCUAGUGUAGCGGUGAAAUGCAUAGAUAUCACGCAGAACUCCGAUUGCGAAGGCAGCAUACCGGCGCCCAACUGACGCUGAAGCACGAAAGCGUGGGUAUCGAACAGG
rnacentral:rRNA from 1 species